AGCACCUCAAGUGGUCAGGAUGAUUAUUGGGCCUAAAGCAUCCGUAGCUCGUUUUGUAAGUUUUCGGUUAAAUCCAUGCGCUUAACGUAUGGGCUGCCGGGAAUACUACAUAACUAGGAAGUGGGAGAGGUAGACGGUACUCGGUAGGAAGGGGUAAAAUCCUUUGAUCUAUUGAUGACCACCUGUGGCGAAGGCGGUCUACCAGAACACGUUCGACGGUGAGGGAUGAAAGCUGGGGGAGCAAACCG
rnacentral:rRNA from 1 species